UCCCAGGCCUAUUUAACUGUAAGCUGUUUGUGGGAUCGAAUGGACAAGGACUCCUGAUAUCCUUAGACUCUGGUGCAUGUGCCCAUCUAGCAUCAGUCAGCCCGGUCUCCUGGUCCACUCAGAUUUGCUGAGAAGAUUAUUUUGAGAUGCUUACGAGUCACAAGCUAGGAUGUCAUUUAUUAUUUUAGAUAUAACCUGGAACUCUGAAUGCAGGUCUUGACAG